UGCGCAGACGGACUAUUAAGUCAGUGGUGAAAUCUCUCGGCUCAACCGAGAAACUGCCAUUGAAACUGUUAGUCUUGAGUACAGUUGUAGUGGGCGGAAUAUAGCAUGUAGCGGUGAAAUGCUUAGAUAUGCUAUAGAACACCGAUCGCGAAGGCAGCUCACUAAGCUGUAACUGACGCUCAGGCACGAAAGCGUGGGGAGCAAACAGGAUUAGAUACCCUGGUAGUCC
rnacentral:rRNA from 1 species